rnacentral:tRNA from 1 species
GGGGAAUUAGCUCAGGCGGUAGAGCGCUCGCUUUGCGUGCGAGAGGUACUAGGGAUCGAUACCCAAAUUCUCCA